rnacentral:lncRNA from 1 species
AUCUUUCAAGAACAGGCGCCGGCCUCGGCGUCCGCCGCGCAGUUAGGAAACUGACUGUCGCUCUCUCCGGCCUCGGCGCUGCUUCGGACGCCCCGGCACCGGCCCCCGUUGCUUUGUAGCAUUCUGCAGCUGGGCUGCAGGCGCCGUGGGCCUCCGCCAGUUGUGUUCGAGACGCGGUUCGGCCACAGAAGUUUUAGCUUGUGACUUUUGGCAAGUCAGUGGCCCUCUCUGGGCCUCAGGUGCCUUUUUUGCUGUGAGACCAGCGACUGUAUUUUUAACCCUGAUUUUAUCCCUAGAUCUACCCAACACAUAGUAGGUGCUCAAAAGAUAUUUAUGAGUGAAUGAAUGCAUCAUGAGAAGAAAUUGGACCAGAUGAGGCCCUGUGAAGCUGCUUGGGUCUUUUUUUGUUCUUUUUUUUUUCUCUCUUCUGAGUGUCCCUGGCCUGGACUAGAAAUUCUCCAUCCUUCGGCCUUCUGCGAGACUGCAGGAACAUUACUUUUGAAGGAUGCUAAGGAAUCCGAGGGAUGAAAAAAAUCAAGAGAUUGCAAUGAUGUCACAAAACAAGGAAACAAGUGCAGCAUCUUCACUCCGAAGCAGAAAUUUGCCAAAAAAGCAUCCUCUUUUUAUCAGAAAAUAAAAUAUCCUGGUUUCUUAGCCUGGCAUUCUUGGAUCCCCACAGUUUGAUCCCAACCGACAACUCCUUAUUUGAAACUUCAGAUUCUCCCAAACCGUCACCUUCCUCGUGGACUUAAUCCUGGAAGGCCCUUCUACCCCACUUCGCCUUAUCUCACACAAACACAGUCUCUCUCUGACUGAGAUAAACUUGAACACUUCUUUUCUUUUCUUUUUUUUUUUCUUUAAAUUUCGGGUUUCAAAAUACAAAUGGCCUAAUCACAACAUUUCUGUAAUGUUGUCUAAAUUCAGGUACUGGUUUGAAUAGAGGACAAAAAUAAAACAAGGUUUGAAGACUAA